rnacentral:rRNA from 1 species
CCGACCUCAGAUCGGACGAGAUUACCCGCUGAAUUUAAGCAUAUAACUAAGCGGAGGAAAAGAAACUAACAAGGAUUUCCCCAGUAACGGCGAGUGAAGCGGAAAAAGCCCAGCACCGAAUCCCUCAGUGUGAUGCUGACGGGAACUGUGGUGUGUGGGACGCCACCAGUCGCAUCAGCGGGCGCCGAAGUCCUCCUGAUCGGGGCUUCACCCAUAGCGGGUGUAAGGCCUUUGCGGGUGCUUCGCUGUGCGGCCGCGAGCGUCCUAGGAGUCGGGUUGUUUGGGAAUGCAGCCCAAAGUGGGUGGUAAACUCCAUCUAAG